rnacentral:rRNA from 1 species
UACGUAGGGUGCGAGCGUUAAUCGGAAUUACUGGGCGUAAAGCGUGCGCAGGCGGUUCGUUGUGUCGGCGGUGAAAGCCCCGGGCUCAACCUGGGAAUGGCCGUUGAAACUGGCGAACUGGAGUGUGGCAGGAGGGGGGUGGAAUUCCGCGUGUAGCAGUGAAAUGCGUAGAGAUGUGGAGGAAUACCGAUGGCGAAGGCAGCCCCCUGGGAUAACACUGACGCUCAUGCACGAAAAGCGUGGGGGAGCAAACAG